CUGAAGUGUUUGGGGGAACUC
rnacentral:miRNA from 25 species